AACUAGCGACCUACCUGAGGAUGAUCAAGCGGAGUUCGAUGCGGAGGAGCUGACAAGCACAAGUGUGGAACACAUCAUUGUCAAUCCUAAUGCUGCCUAUGACAAGUUCAAGGACAAGAGAGUGGGGACAAAGGGACUUGAUUUCUCAGAUCGUAUUGGAAAAACCAAGAGGACAGGAUAUGAAUCUGGAGAAUAUGAGAUGCUUGGAGAGGGUCUG
rnacentral:misc_RNA from 1 species